rnacentral:rRNA from 1 species
UACGGAGGGGGCUAGCGUUGUUCGGAAUUACUGGGCGUAAAGCGUGCGCAGGCGGUUCGCUGUGUCCUGUGUGAAAGCCCCGGGCUUAACCUGGGAAUGGCAUGGGAAACUGGCGGGCUGGAGUGUGGCAGAGGGGGGUGGAAUUCCGCGUGUAGCAGUGAAAUGCGUAGAGAUGCGGAGGAACACCGAUGGCGAAGGCAGCCCCCUGGGCUAACACUGACGCUCAGGCACGAAAGCGUGGGGAGCAAACAGG